CGAAGCUACAUCCUGCAAGAGAUGUAGAGGAGAUGGAGGGGAGGAAGUUUGAGCCUUCUCAGUGAAGUUAAGCUUUCCGGCCGUGGGGGAACUGGUGGAGAAAGUCCAGAAAAGAUCCUCCAGCUGUGAAGUCUGAUGUCAGUCAGCUUCGGAGAAACAACACUAGCAAGUCUCAGACACUUCUUCCCAUGGCAUCACCAAAUCAGGCUUCCCUCAUCGCCACAGAGUUGAGACAGCUUCAGCUCACCUCUCACUCUGCUCCUGUCUAAAUUCCAGCUGGAAGAGCAGCCCUUCCCUGCUUGGGUGAGUUGAAGCCCCACAGCAUUUCCUUCCAUAGGAUCCUGGUACUCCAACCCACAUGACAAAAUCAGAUCCUCCUGCUCCCUGCUGACCUGCUCCAGCCCCUCGUAUUCCCCAUUUUCUUCUCAGUGCCCUCCAUUCCCUCCAUUGUAAAUACUUGUUGUGGGGGAAGAGCAGCAUAUUUUAUUCUUUUAUGUUGGAAAGGAAAUGAAGGCAAAGACGGGUUUUUUGUUCUUUUAUCGUUGUUGUUAUUAUUGAGAGAGGGUUUGUUUGGGUUUCUUUUUCAGUACAGACAAGUUCUAACCUGUACAUGUGCUCUUAGGUACUCCUGAAAAUAAAAAGCACAUUUGCAUCACGUCCGCUCAAAAUAGGAAGAAAUUACAUAUCGUUGAGAUUUUCUGAUCCUGUUCAGUGCACAAAUGCCAAUAUGGGGUUCUAUCUUGCAAUCCAUUUUGAUAUUUACAACAGAACAUGGCAUAUCAUUUAAUUUAAAUUUGCAGCAUGCUCAGUGUAAUUAAUGCUGUGCAGUGCCUAGAAAAUCCUGAUUUCUUAAUGUGAUACAAUGCCUGCAUGCUGAGAGCUUUUUUAAAAAACUACUGUAUCAUUUUGGAGCAUUAAUGGGGAGGCACUGCCAUUAAACAGGAAAAAAAGUGCCAAGGCCACUUGGUCUUUGUGAAACUUCCGUGCGGCUCCCCAAAAUAUGAUGCAAAGUAUGGGUUUGUUUUAGAAGAGGGGGAGAGUCAGAGAUUUAAUUUUCCCUUGACACAGCAUGAUGCCUGAAUAGCCAGACAGCUAUUCCUAAAUUAUGUGCAUUUCAUUCCUAGGAGCUGUGAGCAUUUUGAAUGGGCUGUUGUUAAAUACAGUACACAAGCAUAAAUACUCCAGGGAACAGCUAGCUGAAAUUUUGGCAUGAGCCGAAAUCUCAUGUAGUAUCUGAGCGUGUAAUAAUAAUGCAUAUUGAUUUGUUGGGAGUGCUGGGAGAGGGCUUUGGUAUUCUGGGAUGAGAACUGUUAAACUUGGGAACAUCUUGUGUGAUGAUAAUAUGCUGUGGUAUUUGUGUGCUGUGGGCUUGGCAGGGACAGAGAGGUUCACAUCAAGCUUUGGACAUGGAGACUGGCAGGGUUCUCAGUUUUGGAAUCAAACACAAAAAACUGAGUACAUGACAAAGAUAUUUAUUUGUUAUAUAUAAAUGAAACAUGGGGAAAUGGGACCCAGAAGGGGGAUGUGUUUGGCAAAUGUCCUUCAAGGUCAGGAGCCUUACUACCAUGGCUGCCUUGAGCUUGGGUGUGAGUUUACCUGCUUUAGGGGGAACCUCUGUGUUUGAAUGGUGCAAAAAGAAGAGAACAAGGGGAAAAAAACCCAAACAACAUCCUCUAUCAUUUUGCAAAGUAUCAGUUUCUACUAGACUGUACUACAGAAGCAUUCUUAUAGACCUGUUGAUAGCAAAACAGAUUCUUCCAAGUCCUCUAAAUAAAUCUGUUCCUAUACAUAAUGCUUCAGCUUCUCUGUUCUCACCUAGCACCUGACAAUUCCACCUUAAGGCUAACUGGUCCUGCUUUGAACCUCUACAAGCACUGUGGGAAGAGGGUGGGCACUUUAUUGACUUGGAUUGAUUUUUGUAGGAAGCAUGAGACAGACUCGGUAUCUGUCACCCCUGGGAUACAUCACACUCCUCAAGAACAUCUGCAGGCCACAAGGAGGGUCCAAGAGGAUGUGGGGGAGGCCCUCAAACAACCCCAUCCCGCCAAGUGGGACCUCUCUGCGUGGUCACCUUGGAGAGGCACCAGCCGGGACCAUGUUCAUCAACCAGGUGGGAAUGUAAGGGGGUGAAGCCAUGGCUCUUGUGGUGGAAACCAUCCCGAGCCAAAGGCUGUCUCCACAGACGGGAACCCAAGGGUUAUCCCAAUGCAGGCUGGGCACAUGUUGAUCUCUUCCCACCAUGGUGUCAGGCCUCAAGAAGGGCUGCGGGAUGAGGGGUUGGACAUUUCACACCUAGAACUGUGUUUUCCAGUGCUCUGGUUAUUCGAGAGCAUUACAAGGCAGGGCAGUGAAAGGAUUUGUGAAGCAGCUGCUUGGUUUGUGACAAAAAAGGUGUCAUUGAUAUUAGUAGCUCUGAGCUCCAGUACAGACCUAAAAAAAACCCAGGGAAAUGGCAGAACAAAAGAAGACAGAAACAAGAUGGCACUGAGGGUCUCCUCACCAGGGAUGCUGAUUGAGACGCGAGGCGGGGGCUGUCCCGCCCGUGUGGGGGUCGGAUGGGGAAAUCUCCCCCCUCCUGCUGUCUUGCCUCCCUCAUCCAUAAUGAGGGAAAGAAUAACUUUGCAGCACACUUUGCAUUGGCAUUGCAUGCUAACUUCAUUACUGUUUGCGACAGCCUGUGCAAUCCUCAGAGGAAAGGAAUAAUAACAAAGAAAAAAAAUGAUAAUUACCAAGCACAUAGUUUUCAUCUGUAAUCUUCAUUUUAGGAUUCACUAUUCCUGAUGUCAAUAUUUUAUAAUGGAAGAAUGAGAUAUGCUAAGUUUCUGUUUGAUGGAAGUAAAUCCAGAUUUAAUAUUGCCGAGGAGCUGAAUUUUUAAUAGAACAGAGCAGUUUGCAGCCAUUGCAGCCCCUGUUUGCAGCUCCUGCCGCUCCUUUGUACCGGCUCGGUGAUGUUCCCACGAUCAGGCAGAAAAAUGGAAAGAAGCUGCUCUGGACUUGCAGAGGGGUGACAGUACUUUGUCAUUUAGCUCUGUCACGAUAAUUGGGAGUGUCACACAAUGAAGCAACAUGACACACCCCCGGUAAAUGAAGAGUUUUCAAAGUGAUGUACAGCCCCUGUCACCUGCCAAAGCUUCUGCUUGCUCACGGAGCCAGGUGGCAUUUCCAGGAGGAAAACCGCACUGGAGAAGCACCCUUGGAAAGUUUGUUGUGGAUUGAUUUCCCCUGUGUCUUUGUGAAAUGGAAUAGAUCCUAUGAACAGGAGAAUACCCCCUUUUAUCACAUACACCCAGCUUAAACCUGCUGAGGACUUUCCACAAACUCUUUAGGAAUUUACCUCUUUUUGUUAAAUUGGGUUGGAUCUCAUUAAUAAAAGAAUGGUAUAAUGGAAAAGAGUUUCUAAAAUUAUACUGUAACCUAGAAUUGCAGGAUUCAGCUUUCUCUGCCUGAAGAAAAAAAUUCUGAAGCAUUAAACUUACUUUAUCAAGCAUUGCACCUGACAUGCUCUCAUAAAUUUUACAUACAUUUUAACUUAUUUUAAUAUUAUGCAGGCUUGGUUUAAAAUAUUCCCAUGAAGUACCUAAAAUGAAGCUGCUCAGCCAUAAAUUAGAGCUAAAAAAAUACUUAUUCCCCCCCACUCCAGAUACAUCAAUAUUUCUUUACUUAAAAUCAUGUGUUGUAUGUAAGUUAAAUUUUCCCUUGCUGAGAUACUUUGUAUAUCUUAAUAGGAACUACCACAGGCCCAGGGAGCUGUAUUUCUGUAGGGUUACCUUUAUUUUUUUUUUUUGGUUUUUUAGAGGUGCCUUGUCUAAAAGCAGCCAGCAGUAACCCUUUGCAGGCCACAGUGCUGUUAGGGCCAGGGCCCAGUUACACGUGAGGCCAUAUAUAUAUAUAUAUAUAUGUAUCUGUGUAUGUAUCUGUGUGUGUAUGUGUCUGUGUGUGUAUCUGUAUGUGUGUGUGUAUAUAGACAUAAAUACACUUUUAUAUCACAGAUUCACAGAACGGUUUGUGUUGGAAAGGAUCUUAAAGAUCAUCUCAAGCUUCUACCCUCUGCCGUGGGCAGGGACACCUUCCACUGUCCCAGGCUGCUUCAAGCCCCAUCCUACCUGCCUUGGACACUCCCAGGGAUGGGGCUGGCACAGCUUCUCUGGACAACCUGUGCCAGGGCCUCCCCACCCUCACGGAGAAGAUUUUUUUUCCUAAUAGCCAAUUUAAACCUCCUCUCCAUUUGAAGCCAUUCCCCCUAGUCCUGUCACUCCAGGCCCUUGGAAAUAGUCUCUCUCGAUGUCCUGUUGCAGGUUCCCUUCAGAUACUGGCAGGCUGCAAUUCGGUGACUCCAAAGCCUUCUCUUUUCCAGGCUGGACAAUCCCAAUUCUAUCAGCCUUUCCUCGCAGGAGAGGUGUUCCAGCCCUCUAAUCAUCUUCUUGGCCCUCACAUAUAUAUAUGUGUGUAUGUGUGUAUAUAUAAAAUUAUUCUCCAGGAGCAGUCCUGCAACAGCCCUGCUGGUUGGAGGGACAGUCCCUGGGACCGACGGAAGCUUCCCAGUGUGACCGCCCGAGGCUGCCCCUCCUCCGGCCAGCGUCGCCAUGCAGCAGCUGUUUGCUCAGGCUGCAAUGUGUGAGGAGAGCUGGUGCUGCCCUGCUGCUCAAAUGGCAAGAAUGUGAACAGAGAAAGCAAUUCAGAGGGAGCUGAAUUCCUAUCCAGAAAGAAGUGGCAAAGAACAGCCGUGCGUCUCCUGGAGCACUGGUGAAGUUUGAAGAUGAUCAAUGCCUAAUGAUGCACAGCACAUGUACUCUGAAAUGCCUCUGCUAGGAUGGGCUGAGGAAGAUUUUCAGGUGACAAUUGGAACAUCUGAAUCCACGGCAGUAAAAGAAAACCAAGCAACUGAAGUCAGACAUGUAAAUUAUACAGCUGAUUUCCAGAGGUGGACAAAUACCCCACAGCACCCAGCAAAGUCCCAGAGAGAUGAGUGGUGAAAGGAGAAAAGGAUAAACCCCCACAUGGUGGUCUCAGGAGUGUAAGAGCUUUCCACAUUAUCUGCAAUCACCAUGGAGAAAAUGGGUCUUGGUGUACAUGGUUUCUGCAUAAAUAGUGCAUCCCCAGCACAUUCUGUAGGUAUGGCGAGACUCGGCAACCCUUUCUGAGAAUACUGUCCAGCUAAUCGAAUUCCCAGGCUCCAAAGCUUAAAGUCCAAGGCAAGGGUGCAGGAGUGUGUGCACCACAUCAACAUUCCAGGUGUUUCCAAGUUUCCUCUUCUGCUUUUGCUGUUCCUGGGGUUGGUAGGAGCUUUCCAGUGGCUUGAGCAGAGAGGGAUAUUUUUUGUACCUGUUUCUUAAAGACACUUCCAGUCCCUCUCCUGUCUGUGUUGCUGUAUUGGCCCCCACUGAUUUGCAGUGCUCCAGGCUGUUUGCAAGAUUGCAGCCCUUGGACUGAACUUCCACCCCAGCUGCUGCCCUACAACGAAUGGAAUUGCCCCAGAUCUCCACGGGGAAGGGUUACAGCCCUUCCUGAAACACAGGGUGAGGGGGCUGCUCCGUGAGGGAAAGGCACUCCUGUACCUGAGCACCUCCGUCCAGAGACAUUUCUAGGGUUCUGUCUGUCUGUCUACCUAUCUUAUCUAUCUAUCUAUCUAUCUACAGGAUAAUGAGACACUGACCCUCUGAGCUUUCUGCCUUUGGACAUCCUCAGCAGUCACUUUUCAAAAAAACUGCUGUUGUUCCACUGGGUGUCUGAGAGCCCAUUUGGAAUAUUUAGGGACUGAAAAGGCAGUCUGGUCCUGAACUUCCUGCUAAAAAAUAAAUAACAACCUUCACACAAGAGCAGGAUAAAUAAUUUUUCUUUUCUUUCAGGACUUGUGUUGAGAGCACAGAAAGCAGUCAGAAGUACAGCUUUUACCGACUGCUCUGCUGCUUAACAUCUCUGGCAUUCAAAACAUACAACUUCUGUGUUUGUACUACAUUUCCCUAACAGCUUACAUCGAGGCCAAACACACAGCGUUCUGCAGAGGUCUUCUAAAAUAAGCUUAUUUGAAAGAGCAAGGUCAAUGCCCAACACAUGUCAGAUUCUGUGAGCAGAAAUCAAAGAGUUCGGGGCAAAUGGGACAUGUCAGGGCUCGGUGGAUUCCCAUGCCAGGCUCUUUUACCAAGUUCACAUUGCUGCUGCCAAAACCAGUAACAAUCUCAUCAUGUGGACUUCAGCUUUGGAAAAUGUCUCAAAACCCCCCGUCUCUGCAUGCGGGCUACUCAGCUCAAUAAAGAAAACUAACACAUGAAUAAAAGUGUUUAUCUGGACAUGCUAUUUAUUGUCCCUGUAACCGUAUUUUCCUUUUAAUAGGGCAAGUGCUGAUUCCCUGCUUCAGUCCUAAGCUCUAUUAAAAUCAAAUUAAAAGCAUUAGUAAUGUAGUUAAUUCCAUUUAUAAUAUGACCACCAAGUCAAGAGAAAAGAGAACAUUAAAAUAGAAAUAUAUAUAUAUAUGUAGACGGGAUUUAAGAAUUUUUUGGAAAAAAAAAAUCCAUUUUGAUUUUUGCCUUUUUUUUUUUUUUUUUUUUUUUUUUUUUUUUUUUUUUUUUUUUUUUAUUAAAAAUGGAAAAGUUUUUCCUGCGUUCAGAUAAAGUAACUCUGCCUGGUCUUUUAAACCAGAUCUUGCAGAAUGAUAUUUGUGAUUUCAAUUUGUCACUUUAGCCUCCCUCUUUGGUAUUUUAAAUUGAUCCUAAUGGCUUUGCCUUAAGUGAUUUGCGUCCCAUAGUGAAUCCCUGUCACUUACAGCACCUCCCACUAUUGCCCUCCCGAACAAUCACUCGCGGUAAUCGCUCCUUCCCCUUCUCCCGGCGCUCCUGCUCUCGCCCCGACUCCUCUCGCUGCUUCGGGCUGCAGACUGUUCGCUCUUCAGCAUCUCUAACUUAGGGCUUGCUCUGGCGCACGAAGCAGGCGCUGAACAGCAGGGCCAGAGCCGCAUGGAGAAGGCCGCGCUGGUGGCUGUGAGGUGGGGCUGCAGCUCUCCUUUCCCGAGGGCAAGGAGGGGAAGAGAGCGUCGGGAUUGAGCUCCCCGGACCGUCCUCGGCGUGAGGCCGGAGAGGGCUCACCCGGGCCCGCUCGCCGCUUCCUGCUUCCCGAGAGAGCUCUGGGAGAGCAUCCCAGGAAAGCCUGCCCGGGAAUGCCUUCCACUGGAGGCGUCCCCCGAAGAGAUGCCACCAGCAGAGCCCCUCCAGGCUCUGCCUGGGAGCUGCCCUGCCCCGCUCCCGUCCCUCCACACCCCGGUGGGGAACCAGGAGCCUUCUCUUUCUCAGACAGGAGCAUCCUGUCUCCUUUGCCUUUCAUGGAUCUCAUUAUUAAUUGAAGAAUCAUUUAGUUUGCAUAAUUGUCAUCUGCCAUACAUAAUUCCAACCUUUCUCUUUAAAUUGGCUUAUUAAACUAAGUACAGUCUUCUGGUUUUGUGGCUCCAGCUAUCAAAGCUUCCUAGAUGGACAGUCAGGGUGAUGGGAAGAAAAAAACAAACUAAUAAUAUUAGGGAGCAUCCUUUUAUGUACAUUUAUGAGAUCUACCAGCAGGUGACUCCAUUCUAAAAUAUCUGUAUUUUCAUAAAACAAAAUGCUUUCUUUCCUACACCCUGAACAUCAUCAUGAUGCCCCCCUCCAUAAGAUUUAGCACUCUUAAAAAAACAGUGUUAAAUAAAUAGCACUUUUGCUUAAGCUAUGAACUAUUUCUUUUUGAAUAACACAUGAAAUUGAAUUAGAGAUAUUCAGGGAUUUCCAGAACAGCCUGAUGUGUUCCUGUCUAAUCAGACCUGAUUAAUUCAAAUCAAACUGCAAAGCUCAGUUUUAUUUUGCUUUAAAAACUCCAGCUCAACAACAAAUCAGCAGUAUGUAGAUAUCACAGAGGCAGUUAACAGGAAAGUCUACAUAUACCGAGCCUCGUAGAGUCAAACACAUAUGAUUAAACAUUUGGCAUCAUUUAUUAAUAUUUCAUAUAUUCAAAUAUAUACAGAGGGGAUGGAACCAGUCAGGGAGAUGCUCUUCACCAGGGACAAUUAUAUUUAUGCCUAAAAAAAGCAGAUCCAGCUCAGGUGUCAAAGGAUGUUUCUUCAAAAUAAAAAAAUUAUUAACAAAUAACAGGGUUAUGUGGGGGGGGUUGUAACACAGAACUGCACUAAACCAUGCAAUGAUCUACACAGAUAAUCAAAGCGUUCCUGCCAUGCCAAGUGCAGCAGAAUAAAUUAACUAAGAUAAAACAAAACAAAAUAAUCCCACAAAUGCAAGAUUGCAAAUGCAAAAGAGGCAGCCGUGCAAGAGGUAUUCCAGAGAUUUACUGAGCCAUUAUUGCCGUGCAACGCACGCCCAGAGAGGCUUCCAGACCUGACCAGUUUAAUCCACAUCAGAGUGGGGACAUGCAGGGUCGGGAGGCUGCCUGGAUUUGGGCGCUGGGCACAGCUGUUUUCCUUAGGUGCAAUCCACUUGUCACUGGUGGUGGCACUUUGCAUUUGCUGCGUGGCAGCAUAUGUGCUUGCCACAUCGGGGACCCAUUACAUCCCUUCAGCCUCCAGCCACUUCCCUUCCCUUCUCGUUAGCUGCGUGUCCAUACAUCCUUCCACAUUCCUGCUGCACGGAGUGCCCGCUCUGUGCCCCUCUGCCUGCUCCCACCAUCUAUAACUGGGGCACAGUUAUUCUGUACAUUGCCAGAUGUACAUAUAUGUAUAUAUGUGCACAUGUAAAUAUCUUAUAUACACACACAUACAGACACACUCUGUAAGGAAAUCAGGACUAUUCCAUCACUUACCUGCUCAGAAAUAUCUUUGCUACCAGGGAGAGUUCACAGAGACAAGGAAAAGCUUAAGAAUAGCCAAGGAAAUUUUUCAAACGUGGUGUGAACCCAAGCCAAAAGUGAAGGUGUAAAAAGGGGAGGGGAUGGACUCUAUGUGCACGUGUGAGGGUCUGCAAUGAAACCCAUGGUUCUGCCCAGCACAGACCCAUGUGUUCACAUGGAAUUCUUGGCUUGCAGGUGAAUCAGGACCUGCCCAGACAGGCAGUUCCACAUUUCCGAGGCUUUGCACUCACAGUGGCACGGCCAGGACCGGCUGCAGGGCCCAGUCUGCCUCAGUGUGGGGUCACUGCACAUGACAACAGUUGAGAAAUUUGGUUGAUGUCUCAUUUUGAGGGGCUGCACUGCCACACUCCUAACUCCAGACACACAGGGUUUCCUGCCAGGAUGCUGGGACAGAGGGAAACUUCUCCAGACCAGGCAGAUGAGCUUGCCCAGCAAAGUUCCCAGUCCCAUGAAGGCUAUUCCUCAGGCUGCCUGCAGCCAGGAUGGGAACAGUUCCAGAUAAAAGCUUUACACUCCUAAAGAACAUUAAAAAUGUCACAGCCUCUGAUUCAUAUUUUCAUAGCUAUAACAACGUCCUUGAUAACUGGGGCUCAGGUAAAGCCAGCUCUCCUCCUCAUCCCCCUCCAAACAGAGCAUCCCAUGGCUUGGGAGCUUUUCACCUGGACUCAUGGAUAUGAGCCAGUCCAGCAGAAAGCCCCCUGGGACAUGCAGAUCCAGCUUUUUAUUUCCACAUCCAUGAGCAAGUUAAAAUCAAAAUUUCCACUCAUAAAAGACCUCCAAACUCUAAUUAAACUGGUCCUAAAAAAAAACCCAAAAACAAAAAACAA